UUUGCAGGCCAGUCCUCAAAAUGAGAAAGCGGAAAAAAUGAAAUGUGUUGCUGACAUAUUGCUGCAAAUAGCGCAAAUGUUAGCCGUACACAUUAAUGUUUCAGUACCAGAUAUUUUAUUAUCUAUGAACAUUUCACCUGCAGCUGUUAAUGCAUAUAAGACUGGAGACAUCAACGCAUUUUAUGCAUCUAUAUCGACGGAUUUUUCAAUGGAGA